GAUGAACGCUGGCGGCGUGCCUAAUACAUGCAAGUCGAGCGAACAGACGAGGAGCUUGCUCCUCUGACGUUAGCGGCGGACGGGUGAGUAACACGUGGAUAACCUACCUAUAAGACUGGGAUAACUUCGGGAAACCGGAGCUAAUACCGGAUAAUAUAUUGAACCGCAUGGUUCAAUAGUGAAAGACGGUUUUGCUGUCACUUAUAGAUGGAUCCGCGCCGCAUUAGCUAGUUGGUAAGGUAACGGCUUACCAAGGCAACGAUGCGUAGCCGACCUGAGGGGGUGAUCGACCACACUGGAACUGAGACACGGUCCAGACUCCUACGGGAGGCAGCAGUAGGGAAUCUUCCGCAAUGGGCGAAAGCCUGACGGAGCAACGCCGCGUGAGUGAUGAAGGUCUUCGGAUCGGAAAACUCUGUUAUUAGGGAAGAACAAAUGUGUAAGUAACUAUGCACGUCUUGACGGUACCUAAUCAGAAAGCCACGGCUAACUACGUG
rnacentral:rRNA from 1 species